rnacentral:rRNA from 1 species
UACGUAGGGGGCUAGCGUUGUCCGGAUUCAUUGGGCGUAAAGAGCGUGUAGGCGGCCAGGUAGGUCCGACGUGAAAACUGGAGGCUCAACCUCCAGCUGUCGUCGGAAACCCUCUGGCUAGAGUCCGGAAGAGGAGACUGGAAUUCCUGGUGUAGCGGUGAAAUGCGCAGAUAUCAGGAGGAACACCGGUGGCGAAGGCGGGUCUCUGGGCCGAUACUGACGCUGAGGAGCGAAAGCGUGGGGAGCAAACAGG